AUUGAACGCUGGCGGCAUGCCUUACACAUGCAAGUCGAACGGUAACGCGGGGCAACCUGGCGACGAGUGGCGAACGGGUGAGUAAUAUAUCGGAACGUGCCCAAUAGUGGGGGAUAGCCCGGCGAAAGCCGGAUUAAUACCGCAUACGACCUGAGGGUGAAAGCGGGGGAUCGCAAGACCUCGCGCUAUUGGAGCGGCCGAUAUCAGAUUAGGUAGUUGGUGAGGUAAAGGCUCACCAAGCCGACGAUCUGUAGCUGGUCUGAGAGGACGGCCAGCCACACUGGCACUGACACACGGGCCAGACUCCUACGGGAGGCAGCAGUGGGGAAUUUUGGGCAAUGGACGAAAGUCUGACCCAGCAACGCCGCGUGAGGGAGGAAAUCCUUCGGGAUGUAAACCUCGCAAGCAAGGGAAGAAUGCUUGAGACCUAACACGUCUCAAGAGGGACGGUACCUUGCGUAAGCCACGGCUAACUACGUGCCAGCAGCCGCGGUAAUUGACG
rnacentral:rRNA from 1 species